rnacentral:lncRNA from 1 species
AGAAUGUCCGCCCACCCCACCCAGCUCUCUGCGUCCCCUGCUUCUUUUCUCGCGUCUUCUGGUCUGUCAGCUCCAAAGCGCAAAUUCUAGGAAUUGUUUCCUGCCAGCCUCUGCCGAGCUGCGUUCACGCGCUGAUCGGAGAAUGAGUGACAGUCCCAGCCUCAGCACACUCUCAACUCGGAGAUCCUUGCGCUGGCCCGGGUUCGCUUUGAUGGAACUGGCCCCUCCCUGCCCUGUG